ACAGCAUUGAUCACAUCCAGCCAAGCUCACUGGUUGUACACCACCUGUCAGGUCUCUGGUUAUUCUUUGACUGAUAGUGGUUAUGGAACAGGUUGGAUCAGACAAGGUGAAGGAAAACCACUGGACUGGAUUUUCUACAUAUGGUGCUGAUGGUCAGACUCUGACACAAUCUGAACCGACAGUUAAAAGACCAGGAGAAUCCCACAGACUGACCUUUACAGCAUCUGGAUAUAACUUUGGAAGCUACAGCCUGGUCUGGGUCAGACAGGCUCCUGGAAAAGGACUGGAGUGGAUCGCUUACAUAUAUUGGAGUGAUGGCAGCACUUCCUAUUCUCAGUCAGUUCAAGGCCGUUUUACCAUUUCCAAGGACAACAGCAAACAGCAGCUGUAUCUGCAGAUGAACAGUCUGAAGACUGAAGAUUCUGCUGUUUAUUAUUGUGCUCGAAAUCCACAGUGACUGAAGUUGUUUAAGCAGCUGUACAAAUACCUACACUCCUCACCAUGAUACAUUUAUCUUCAAUGAUAAUUGUAGUGUAAUGGAAAUUUUACUAACAAUAGUUCUAUUAAUAGUAUUACUGUAAGAAAAGUGUCUGUAGUUAAUUAUAUGUCGCUCUGCUAAACUUUCCAUUGAUGUCUUCUUCAGUGAAUUCUACAAGGUGAUUCCUUUAUCAAAGUUAAUAAAACAUGGAGGUCAGCUAAAAUGGUCACAGUUUUUAUCACU